rnacentral:lncRNA from 1 species
CCGGUGUCGGUGCUGCUGGCGGUGUUUGGUCCGGCCGAGCACCAAGCUGCGUUUGAUGUGGACUAUAACAGUGGAGGUUGAUGUCCUUUCCAGAAGGCCAAAAAUACAGAUGUUUUAUGACAAGCACAGCCUAGAUUUCAGUUUGAAAGAAAGCCAUGCAAGUGAGAGGAGGUCUGCAAGUGUAUGUUGUAGUAAAAUACUUGGAACUGCUGUAGAAGGUAGCUGUCUAGUUUAUGGAGACUAUUAAGGCAGAAGAAUAAUUUGAUUGCCAUGUAAUUGUUUGUUAUUUGUUAUUGUUAGAAAGCCUUGACAGAUUCAUAACUGCAAAACUCAGUCUGGAGAUAUUUUCAUGUACUGUGAGUUAUCCCUUUCCUUACAUGUGGAGUUAUUAAAUUUGAAUGUGGCUCCUGUCUU